rnacentral:rRNA from 1 species
AACGAACGCUGGCGGCAGGUCUUAGGCAUGCAAGUCGAACGGGUGUAGCAAUACAUCAGUGGCGCACGAGUGAGUAACGCGUGGGAAUUUGCCCAUCGGUGGGGAAUAACGUUUGGAAACGAACGCUAAUACCGCAUACGUCGAGAAAUCGAGAAAGAUUUAUCGCCGAUGGAUAAGCCCGCGUUGGAUUAGCUUGUUGGUGGGGUAAAGGCCUACCAAGCCGACGAUCCUUAGCUGGUCUGAGAGGAUGAUCAGCCACACUGGGACUGAGACACGGCCCAGACUCCUACGGGAGGCAGCAGUGGGGAAUAUUGGACAAUGGACGCAAGUCUGAUCCAGCAAUGCCGCGUGAGUGAUGAAGGCCUUAGGGUUGUAAAGCUCUUUUACCAGGGAUGAUAAUGACAGUACCUGGAGAAUAAGCUCCGGCUAACUCCGUGCCAGCAGCCGCCGUAA